rnacentral:rRNA from 1 species
CUAACCUGUAAAGGAGGACGCCGUCGAAGGCGCGUUUAGUGAGGAGGGUGAAGUCGUAACAAGGUAGCCGUACUGGAAAGUGCGGCUGGAUCACCUCCUUU